rnacentral:rRNA from 1 species
AGAUUGAACGCUGGCGGCAGGCCUAACACAUGCAAGUCGAGCGGUAGAGAGGUGCUUGCACCUCUUGAGAGCGGCGGACGGGUGAGUAAUGCCUAGGAAUCUGCCUAGUGGUGGGGGAUAACGUUCGGAAACGGACGCUAAUACCGCAUACGUCCUACGGGAGAAAGCGGGGGACCUUCGGGCCUCGCGCCAUUAGAUGAGCCUAGGUCGGAUUAGCUAGUUGGUGAGGUAAUGGCUCACCAAGGCGACGAUACCGUAACUGGUCUGAGAGGAUGAUCAGUCACACUGGAACUGAGACACGGUCCAGACUCCGACGGGAGCAGCAGGUGGGAAUAUUGACAAUGGGACGAAAGCCUGAUCCAAGCCA